AACUAUAAUAAAACUUAUGAUAGACUAAAUUCACUUUCAAGAGUGAAAAAAUGUUACCCCACUCUCCCCUAUUUUGUAAACUACAGUAGAUUCUGCAACUUUUGUUACUGUCUAUCUGCGCAAUUUGAGCUUCAAUCUUUUUUGAUUUUAGAUAAAAUUAUAUUUCAUAAGAAAAUGCCCUGAUUCAAUGUAUUAUUGGGUUCUAAAUUUCAAGGAGACAGGAGUCAGGGCUGAAACAAAUUAGUAGGGAACUGCACGUCUCUUUGUCUCUGCCUGUGCUCAUGAAAAUGGGGGAAUAAAGUUAGGUCAAGUGCACAGUGUGAACCAGUAUGGGUGAGUUCAGCCAAAAUAUGCCUCUCACUCCUGCUCUGUUUCCCACUUUUUCUGUUUCCUCUCCAUCUUAUCACCUCCUCUCUUCUCUCAUGACAGAAGGAAAGCAAGAAGAGGUAGAGCAUGCAGUCCAACCAAACAGAAGGGAGUUUUGCCUUAACUUUGCCAGUCAUGGCUAAAGGCUUCAUCAGAGUCCUCCCUCAGUUUUCUCUUUCUCCUCUUUCUCUCUUGCCUGAUCAAAAUACAAGAGUAAGGAAGGUAGAGCGUACAGCUUAACCCAGAGGGGAU